rnacentral:lncRNA from 1 species
GGGAUCCUCCCCCCACCCCCCAGUCCCUAGUCUGGUUUUCAGAGAAGAGACACUGUGUUGGGCAAGCAGGCAGCUGGGGGGGGGGGGGGUGUCUGCCCAGGAGGCCUGGAGCUGGAGGGGGCAGCUGCAGAGGGAGCUGGAAAUUGGGGGGGGGGGAAGGGUUGUGCAGAGGAUGGAGCAGGCUCCACCUUCUUGCCUUUCGGGGACCGGCCAAGGCUGGAGCUUUGAGCUGCUGAGACAGACCACCUGCACAGCAUCCCAGAGGAGCGAUGGUCCUGGGGACUAGACAAUAGAGACGCGGAUAUGAAGGAGGCACUGGCCUUGCCCUGCGGCCAGCUAUUGCCAGCCAGCCUUGAUCGACACCAAAGACGCCUAAUCUCUCUCUGGCCCGAGGGGAGCAGAAGCGUUUGUGAAACAGAUUUUUACAAAAUGUUUUGACCCUGCUCUCCCCUCCUCCCCCCUAUCCCUGCCUGGCACCGUGUCACCUAAUUAAAUCAGCCUUCGCGGGCGACUCUGCUUCCUGCUAA